AAUAGAUACCCGGGUAGUCCACGCCGUAAACGAUGAGUGCUAAGUGUUAGGGGGUUUCCGCCCCUUAGUGCUGCAGCUAACGCAUUAAGCACUCCGCCUGGGGAGUACGGUCGCAAGACUGAAACUCAAAGGAAUUGACGGGGGCCCGCACAAGCGGUGGAGCAUGUGGUUUAAUUCGAAGCAACGCGAAGAACCUUACCAGGUCUUGACAUCCCAUUGACUACUAUGGAGACAUAGUUUUCCCUUCGGGGGACAACGGUGACAGGUGGUGCAUGGUUGUCGUCAGCUCGUGUCGUGAGAUGUUGGGUUAAGUCCCGCAACGAGCGCAACCCUUGUUCUUAGUUGCCAUCAUUUAGUUGGGCACUCUAAGGAGACUGCCGGUGACAAACCGGAGGAAGGUGGGGAUGACGUCAAAUCAUCAUGCCCCUUAUGACCUGGGCUACACACGUGCUGCAAUGGACGGUACAAACGGUUGCCAACCCGCGAGGGGGAGCUAAUCCGAUAAAACCGUUCUCAGUUCGGAUUGUAGGCUGCAACUCGCCUACAUGAACG
rnacentral:rRNA from 1 species